CCUACGGGAGGCAGCAGUGAGGAAUAUUGGUCAAUGGGCGGGAGCCUGAACCAGCCAAGCCGCGUGAGGGAAGAAGGUACAGCGUAUCGUAAACCUCUUUUGUCAGGGAACAAAGGCGGGGACUAGUCCCCGGAUGAGGGUACCUGAAGAAAAAGCAUCGGCUAACUCCGUGCCAGCAGCCGCGGUAAUACGGAGGAUGCGAGCGUUAUCCGGAUUUAUUGGGUUGAAAGGGUGCGCAGGGGGCCUGUUAAGUCAGGGGUAAAAGCCCGGGGCUAAACCCCGGCGAGCCUUUGAAACUGGGGGGCUGGAGUGGGAGAGAGGAAGGCGGAAGGCGGGGUGUAGCGGUGAAAUGCUUAGAGAUCGCGCAGAACCCCGAUUGCGAAGGCAGCGUACCGGCUCCACACUGACGCUGAGGCACGAAAGCGUGGGUAUCGAACAGGAUUAGAUACCCUAGUAGUC
rnacentral:rRNA from 1 species